rnacentral:tRNA from 1 species
GGCCCCGUGGCGAAAUGGCAGACGCAGCGGACUUAAAAUCCGCAGCUCGUAAAAGGGCGUGUGGGUUCGAGUCCCACCGGGGCCA